GACUGCUCCAGUGGCCUAAUGAUUAGAGCAUCUGCCUUGGAUGCAGGAAGUCAAGGGUUUGAUCCCUGGCUGAGUCU